GUGAAAGUGACAAUAUUUAGCGAUUUUGAAGAUCGAAACUAUGACAGAAUGACCAAAGAAUUAUCUUAUAGAAACAAAAUAUACUUUGUACACGCACAUUAAAAUGAUACAGGCUGUAUUAAACAAUUCGCUAUAUAUCAAUAUCAAUAUUUUAUAACGUACAUAAUCAAUGAAAUUAUAAGAUGUCAACAAUUUUACUUCCAUGUAAAUCAAAUGUUCUUAAGAAUAUGCAUAGUGUUAUCAAAUUAAACGAUUAUUCUAAUCCUUCUGCAAUACUGCAUAAUGUGUACGUGCUUAAGUACGUCUUUUAUUUUAUUGGUUUGAUUCAAAUUUAAAUGUUUUAAGUGUUUAUUUGUAAUAAACAUAUUAUCGGUCAAA